CUUCCCCUAGCCAAUGUGGGGUCAGUCAGCCCUGGCAACACAAGAUUUGAAUGGAAACGAGCGAAUCUGGAACCAGAAGGGAAUUGCCAGACAAUCGUUGCACACUGUCUUUUUGCAGUCGUGGUCCCCCUAACCCCAUAGACCUUAAUGCUUCGCCAACCGUGGAUUGCCAACAGGAGUGAUAUCUGAUUCUUCUGCUUGUUUGAAGCUUGCCAGAGAGGAAGAAGGGGAAACACCAGGAAAUAAGAAGAGUAAACCAGGGGCCCUCUUGUAGAGCUAUGACUAACCACAAUGGGUACUGAUGGAAAUGUUUCAUGUGGUGGAAUUAAGGAUAUUCACCCUAAAUUACAAACCUUUUUCUACAGCUGAAUUUGACAUUUUAGCACAUAGAGGUAGGAAGUAAAAGACCCACAUCCAGAAGUGAAGUUUAGAUGAAAUAUAAGUUUAGAUGAAAUAUUAUUCU